AGAUUGAACGCUGGCGGCAUGCCUAACACAUGCAAGUCGAACGGGAGUAGCAAUACUCUAGUGGCGGACGGGUGAGGAAUACGUAGGAAUUUGCCCUUAAGUGGGGGAUAACCCGGGGAAACCCGGAUUAAUACCGCAUGACCUCGAAAGAGCAAAGUGGGGGAUCGCAAGACCUCACGCUUUUGGAGAAGCCUACGUCGGAUUAGCUAGUUGGUGAGGUAAUGGCUCACCAAGGCGACGAUCCGUAACUGGUCUGAGAGGAUGAUCAGUCACACCGGAACUGAGACACGGUCCAGACUCCUACGGAGCAGCAGUGGGGAAUAUUGGACAAUGGGCGAAAGCCUGAUCCAGCCAUGCCGCGUGUGUGAAGAAGGUCUUCGGAUUGUAAAGCUACUUUAAGGUUGGAGGUAAGGGUUGAACCUAAGUACGUUGCAAUUUGACGUUACCGACAGAAUAAGCAACCGGCUAACUUCGCGCCAGCAGCCGC
rnacentral:rRNA from 1 species